rnacentral:hammerhead_ribozyme from 1 species
CUAUAGCCGACGAGUCCCAAACAGAACGAAACGUGUGUCCUGGAU